UACGUAGGUGGCAAGCGUUAUCCGGAUUUAUUGGGCGUAAAGCGAGCGCAGGCGGUUGCUUAGGUCUGAUGUGAAAGCCUUCGGCUUAACCGAAGAAGGGCAUCGGAAACCGGGCGACUUGAGUGCAGAAGAGGACAGUGGGACUCCAUGUGUAGCGGUGGAAUGCGUAGAUAUAUAGAAGAACACCAGUGGCGAAGGCGGCUGUCUGGUCUGCAACUGACGCUGAGGCUCGAAAGCAUGGGUAGCGAACAGG
rnacentral:rRNA from 1 species